GAUGAACGCUGGCGGCGUGCUUAACACAUGCAAGUCGAACGGAAAGGCCCAAGCUUGCUUGGGUACCCGAGUGGCGAACGGGUGAGUAACACGUGGGUGAUCUGCCCUGCACUUCGGGAUAAGCCUGGGAAACUGGGUCUAAUACCGGAUAGGACCACUUCUUGGAUGUUGUGGUGGAAAGUUUUCUCGGUGUGGGAUGAGCUCGCGGCCUAUCAGCUCGUUGGUGGGGUAAUGGCCUACCAAGGCGUCGACGGGUAGCCGGCCUGAGAGGGUGUACGGCCACAUUGGGACUGAGAUACGGCCCAGACUCCUACGGGAGGCAGCAGUGGGGAAUAUUGCACAAUGGGCGCAAGCCUGAUGCAGCGACGCCGCGUGGGGGAUGACGGCCUUCGGGUUGUAAACUCCUUUCGCUAGGGACGAAGCGUUUUUGUGACGGUACCUGGAGAAGAAGCACCGGCUAACUACGUG
rnacentral:rRNA from 1 species